rnacentral:rRNA from 1 species
AUGGCAGAAGAGGAUGAGGAAAAAACCGCAUUUAUCACCCCUUGCGGCACAUACUGUUUUGUACGGAUGCCCUUUGGGUUGAAGAAUGCUGGUUCAACAUUUGCAAGGGUAGUCCAUGUCGCUUUUGAGCCACAGAUACACAGAAAUGUGGAAGCCUACAUGGAUGAUAUAGUGGUCAAGAGCAAGGACAAGGCUACCCUGAUCCAAGAUUUAGAAGAAACUUUUGCAAAUCUGCGCAGGAUCAACCUCAAGCUCAAUCCCGAGAAGUGCGUGUUCGGAGUCCCUUCCGGCAAGCUUCUCGGGUUCUUUGUGUCUCAGCGGGGAAUUGAAGCCAACCCCGACAAGAUCAAGGCCAUCGAGCAGAUUGAAGCACCGAAGCGCGUCAAGGAUGUGCGAAGGCUUGCCGGUUGCGUGGCUGCUCUCAGCAGAUUUAUCUCUAAGUUCGCAGAGCGCGCCUUGCUGUUUUUCAAAAUAUUGAAAAAGGCAGGUCCAAUGAAAUGGACUCCAGAAGCGGAGGCCGCACUACAGGACUUGAAGAGGUACCUGUCCUCCACUCCAAUACUUGUCGCACCUAAGCCACAAGAGAAGUUGCUGCUGUACCUAGCGGCAACCAAUCAAGUGGUUAGUGCUGUGUUAGUAGCGGAGAGGGAGGCGGAUGAUGAGCCAGCGACCGCGACAAGUGAAUCCAGCGACAAGCAGGGGGCUUCUCCGACAAGCUUUGGUCCCGACAAAGAUGAAUCUGCGCAGACGUGCAAGGAGGUGCAGAAGAAGAUGGUGCAGCGCCCAGUUUACUUUGUCAGCUCCCUUCUCCAGGGGGAUAGGUCGAGGUACUCUGGCGUGCAGAAAUUGCUUUUCGUCCUUCUCAUGGCCUCGAGAAAGCUGCGCCAUUACUUCCAGGCACAUGAGAUAACAGUUGUCACUCGCUUUCCGUUGAAGAGGAUAUUGCAGAAUCCAGAAGCAACAGGCAGGAUUGUCGAGUGGGCACUGGAACUGUCAAGCUUUGGCCUCAAGUUUGAGAGUACUUCCACUAUAUAG